AUUGAACGCUGGCGGCAAGCCUAACACAUGCAAGUCGAACGAGUGGCGGACGGGUGAGUAAUGUCUGGGAAACUGCCUGAUGGAGGGGGAUAACUCCUGGAAACGGUAGCUAAUACCGCAUACCAUCGGAUGUGCCCAGAUGGGAUUAGCUAGUAGGUGGGGUAAAGGCUUACCUAGGCGACGAUCCCUAGCUGGUCUGAGAGGAUGACCAGCCACACGGGAACUGAGACACGGUCCAGACUCCGACGGGAGGCAGCAGUGGGGAAUAUUGCACAAUGGGCGCAAGCCUGAUGCAGCCAGGCCGCGUGUAUGAAGAAGGCCUUAGGGUUGUAAAGUACUUUCAGCGGGGAGGCGUUACCCACAGAAGAAGCACCGGCUAACUCCGUGCCAGCCGCCGCGGUAAUUC
rnacentral:rRNA from 1 species